rnacentral:misc_RNA from 1 species
GUUCCCUGCUAUCACAAAACCAUGUCAAGGAGGCCAGUAAAUCCUUCUCGACGGCUUGUUGAUGGUGGGAGUCUUCCAUUUGUCGGAACAAUACAUUCCAAGACACGGUCAUCGCCUUUGCUAACCAUAGGGCUUGUUGUGGGUGCUAUUCUUCUUGUUGGAUUUUGUUAUCAUCAAUCAGGUGGAUCAAGAAGCAAUAUAGAGGCUGUGAGUAAAGUUGAAGGUAGUACAUCAUGCACUGCAGAAGUCCAACGAGCAAUUCCCAUUCUGAAGAAAG